rnacentral:lncRNA from 1 species
GCCGCUUGCCUAGAGCAAGCUCUCUUCUCGCUGCCAAUUCAUCAUUGGUGUUGUCACUCUACGCCAACGUCCGUUCCCUUCCGCUACGGCAUCUCUAGUGCUGCUCAUCAGCACUGCCCCACCUUUCUUCCUCGUUGUAGCUAUUUACCUUCCUCUUCUGCUACAACUUCCUCUUCUGCUACAGCUUCCUCCUCUAUUGCAGUUUCCUCCUUUGCUGUAGUAGCAUCAUUGCAACAUUGCUGUAGAUUUCUUCUCUACUGUCGCAGCCGUCGUAAUCGCAACCACGACCAACGUCGUUGAGAAAAGCGAAGCUUCGCUCUUGCCUUCGGCCAGCGACCAACGUCGCUGAGAAAAGUGAAGCUUCACCCUUCGGCCAGCGACCAACGCCGUUGUAUUUCUAAGAGGCUCCGUGGUCAAUCCUCAUCUUCCUCACCGCGGUAGUCUUCACUAAUCUGUCAACAUUUGGCAGACUUAAGGAGAAUGAAGGGAACGCCUGUGCCAUCAUAGCAACAGCAAUUGCAGCAGCAGCAGUAGUGAUCUACACUUAUCUUACUCACGAAGCCUCUUGCUUUAAACCAUUUUUUGCACCGAUCCAAGAUUGGUAUCCUUGUUAGGAGCACCAUCUUGCGGGGGCAUGAUAGAAGAUAAGAUUUCCCCAACUUGAUAGAGGAUAAGAUUUCCCCAAUUAUAUGAGGAAAUCUCUCUAUUCUGUUUAUUCUGUUGAGGGAAAUCCUUCCUCCUAAUCUGUAUAAAUAGGAGAGGGAACAUGUUAAUAGAUUUAAGCUAAAGCUAUUUCAUUUCUACAAUAAAGCUUCUUCAAUUAUUGUUCUUAUCUUCUAUUAUUUCUAUCAUGGUAUCAGAGCCGCUUGCCUAGAGCAAGCUCUCUUCUCGCUGCCAAUUCAUCAUUGGUGUUGCCACUCUACGCCAACGUCCGUUCCCUUCCGCUACGGCAUCUCUAGUGCUGCUCAUCAGCACUGCCCCACCUUUCUUCCUCGUUGUAGCUAUUUACCUUCCUCUUCUGCUACAACUUCCUCUUCUGCUACAGCUUCCUCCUCUGUUGCAGUUUCCUCCUUUGCUGUAGUAGCAUCAUUGCAACAUUGCUGUAGAUUUCUUCUCUACUGUCGCAGCCGUCGUAAUCGCAACCACGACCAACGUCGUUGAGAAAAGCGAAGCUUCGCUCUUGCCUUCAGCCAGCGACCAACGUUGCUGAGAAAAGUGAAGCUUCACCCUUCGGCCAGCGACCAACGCCGUUGUAUUUCUAAGAGGCUCCGUGGUCAAUCCUCAUCUUCCUCACCGCGGUAGUCUUCACUAAUCUAUCAACAUUUGGCAGACUUAAGAAGAAUGAAGGGAACGCCUGUGCCAUCAUAGCAACAGCAAUUGCAGCAGCAGCAGCAGCAAUCUACACUUAUCUUACUCACGAAGCCUCUUGCUUUAAACCAUUUUUUGCACCGAUCCAAGAUUGGUAUCCUUGUUAGGAGCACCAUCUUGCGGGGGCAUGAUAGAAGAUAAGAUUUCCCCAACUUGAUAGAGGAUAAGAUUUCCCCAAUUAUAUGAGGAAAUCUCUCUAUUCUGUUUAUUCUGUUGAGGGAAAUCCUUCCUCCUAAUCUGUAUAAAUAGGAGAGGGAACAUGUUAAUAGAUUUAAGCUAAAGCUAUUUCAUUUCUAUAAUAAAGCUUCUUCAAUUAUUGUUCUUAUCUUCUAUUAUUUCUAUCAUGGUAUCAGAGCCGCUUGCCUAGAGCAAGCUCUCUUCUCGCUGCCAAUUCAUCAUUGGUGUUGCCACUCUACGCCAACGUCCGUUCCCUUCCGCUACGACAUCUCUAGUGCUGCUCAUCAGCACUGCCCCACCUUUCUUCCUCGUUGUAGCUAUUUUCCUUCCUCUUCUGCUACAACUUCCUCUUCUGCUACAGCUUCCUCCUCUGUUGCAGUUUCCUCCUUUGCUGUAGUAGCAUCAUUGCAACAUUACUGUAGAAUUCUUCUCUACUGUCGCAGCCGUCGUAAUCGCAACCACGACCAACGUCGUUGAGAAAAGCGAAGCUUCGCUCUUGCCUUCGGCCAGCGACCAACGUCGCUGAGAAAAGUGAAGCUUCACCCUUCGGCCAGCGACCAACGCCGUUGUAUUUCUAAGAGGCUCCGUGGUCAAUCCUCAUCUUCCUCACCGCGGUAGUCUUCACUAAUCUGUCAACAUUUGGCAGACUUAAGGAGAAUGAAGGGAACGCCUAUGCCAUCAUAGCAACAGCAAUUGCAGCAGCAGCAGCAGCGAUCUACACUUAUCUUACUCA